rnacentral:rRNA from 1 species
AGCAUAUCAAUAAGCGGAGGAAAAGAAACCAACAGGGAUUGCCCCAGUAACGGCGAGUGAAGCGGCAACAGCUCAAAUUUGAAAUCUGGCCCCUCGGGGUCCGAGUUGUAAUUUGUAGAGGAUGCUUUUGGUGAGGUGCCGCCCGAGUUCCCUGGAACGGGACGCCACAGAGGGUGAGAGCCCCGUCUGGCUGGCCACCGAGCCUCUGUAAAGCUCCUUCGACGAGUCGAGUAGUUUGGGAAUGCUGCUCAAAAUGGGAGGUAUAUGUCUUCUAAAGCUAAAUAUUGGCCAGAGACCGAUAGCGCACAAGUAGAGUGAUCGAAAGAUGAAAAGCACCUUGAAAAGAGGGUUAAAUAGUACGUGAAAUUGUUGAAAGGGAAGCGCUUGUGACCAGACUUGGGCGCGGCGGAUCAUCCGGGGUUCUCUCCGGUGCACUUCGCCGCGUCUAGGCCAGCAUCAGUUCGUCGCGGGGGAAAAAGGUUUCGGGAACGUGGCUCCUCCGGGAGUGUUAUAGCCCGUUGCAUAAUACCCUGCGGUGGACUGAGGACCGCGCAUCUGCAAGGAUGCUGGCGUAAUGGUCACCCAGC